UAGGGAAUUUUCGUCAAUGGGGCGCAAGCCUGAACGAGCAAUGCCGCGUGAACGAGGAAGGUCUUCGGAUCGUAAAGUUCUGUUGAAGGGGAAAAAGAGCGGAGAGAGGAAAUGGUCUCCGAUUGAUAUUACCCUUCGAGGAAGUCACGGCUAACUACGUGCC
rnacentral:rRNA from 1 species